rnacentral:rRNA from 1 species
AGAAUCAACGCUGGCGGCGUGCCUAACACAUGCAAGUCGAACGAGAAAGUGGAGCAAUCCAUGAGUAAAGUGGCGCACGGGUGAGUAACACGCGACUAACCUACCCUUGAGUGGGGGAUAACCUAGAGAAAUCUGGGCUAAUACCGCAUAAUACCUUCGGGUCAAAGGAGCAAUUCGCUUAAGGAGGGGGUCGCGGCCGAUUAGUUAGUUGGCGGGGUAAUGGCCCACCAAGACUAUGAUCGGUAUCCGGCCUGAGAGGGCGCACGGACACACUGGAACUGAAACACGGUCCAGACUCCUACGGGAGGCAGCAGUGGGGAAUUUUGCGCAAUGGGGGAAACCCUGACGCAGCAACGCCGCGUGGAGGAUGAAGUCCCUUGGGACGUAAACUCCUUUCGAUCGGGACGAUUAUGACGGUACGGAAGAAGAAGCCCCGGCUAACUUCGCGCCAGCAGCCGC